rnacentral:tRNA from 1 species
GGGUAGGUGGCCGAGCGGUUAAUGGCGGCAGACUGUAAAUCUGUUGGCGAUGCCUACGGGGGUUCGAAUCCCUCCCUGCCCACCA